GACGAACGCUGGCAGCGUGCCUAAUACAUGCAAGUCGAACGCAGUGGGGACGGGUGAGUAACACGUGGGUAACCUCCCAUCAGAGGGGAUAACACUUGGAAACAGGUGCUAAACCGAUACUGAUGGAUGGACCCGCGGUGCAUUAGCUAGUUGGUGAGGGAACGGCGCACCAAGGCGACGAUGCAUAGCCGAACUUAGAGGGUGAUCAGACAAACUGGGACUGAGACAGGGGCAAUACUCCUACGGGAGGCAGGAGUAGGGAAUCUUCGGCAAUGGACGAAAGCCUGACCGAGCAACGCCGCGUGAGUGAAGAAGGUUUGCGGAUCGUAAAACGCUGUUGUAAGAGAAGCGGUAUAUAACCAGAAAGCCACGGCUAACUACGUGCCAGCAGCAGCGGUAAUAC
rnacentral:rRNA from 1 species